rnacentral:rRNA from 1 species
CGAAAGCCUGACGGAGCAAUACCGCGUGAGGGAAGAAUGCCUAUGGGUUGUAAACCUCUUUUUUCAGGGAGGAAUAAAAUGACGUGUACCUGAAGAAUAAGCAUCGGCUAACUCCGUGCCAGCAGCCGCGGUAAGACGGAGGAUGCAAGUGUUAUCCGGAAUCACUGGGCGUAAAGCGUCUGUAGGUGGUUUAAUAAGUCAACUGUUAAAUCUUGAGGCUCAACUUCAAAAUCGCAGUCGAAACUAUUAGACUAGAGUAUAGUAGGGGUAAAGGGAAUUUCCAGUGGAGCGGUGAAAUGCGUAGAUAUUGGAAAGAACACCGAUGGCGAAGGCACUUUACUGGGCUAUUACUGACACUCAGAGACGAAAGCUAGGGUAGCAGAUG